rnacentral:rRNA from 1 species
GGGCCCGCACAAGCGGUGGAGUAUGUGGUUUAAUUCGAUGCAACGCGAAGAACCUUACCAGGGUUUGACAUCCUGCGAAUCUCUUGGAAACGAGAGAGUGCCUUCGGGAACGCAGUGACAGGUGGUGCAUGGCUGUCGUCAGCUCGUGUCGUGAGAUGUUGGGUUAAGUCCCGCAACGAGCGCAACCCACGUCUUUAGUUGCCAGCAUUUAGUUGGGCACUCUAGAGAGACUGCCGGUGAUAAGCGGGAGGAAGGUGUGGAUGACGUCAAGUCCUCAUGGCCCUUACGGGUUGGGCUACACACGUGCUACAAUGGUGGUGACAAUGGGUUAAUCCCAAAAAGCCAUCUCAGUUCGGAUUGGGGUCUGCAACUCGACCCCAUG